AACGAACGCUGGCGGCAGGCCUAACACAUGCAAGUCGAGCGAGGUAGCAAUACCUAGCGGCGGACGGGUGAGUAACGCGUGGGAACGUGCCCCUUGGUACGGAAUAGCCCCGGGAAACUGGGAGUAAUACCGUAUGAGCUCUACGGAGGAAAGAUUUAUCGCCAAGGGAUCGGCCCGCGUUGGAUUAGGUAGUUGGUGGGGUAAUGGCCUACCAAGCCGACGAUCCAUAGCUGGUUUGAGAGGAUGAUCAGCCACACUGGGACUGAGACACGGCCCAGGCUCCUACGGAAGGCAGCAGUGGGGAAUCUUAGACAAUGGGCGCAAGUCUGAUCUAGCUAUGCCGCGUGAGCGAUGAAGGCCUUAGGGUUGUAAAGCUCUUUCAGCUGGGAAGAUAAUGGCUGUACCAGCAGAAGAAGCCCCGGCUAACUCCGUGCCAGCCGCCGCGGUAA
rnacentral:rRNA from 1 species